rnacentral:rRNA from 1 species
GAUGAACGCUGGCGGCGUGCCUAAUACAUGCAAGUCGAGCGAACGGACGAGAAUCUUGCUUCUCUGAUGUUAGCGGCGGACGGGUGAGUCACACGUGGAUCAUCUACCUAUCAGACUGGUAUAACUUCGGGAAACCGGAGCUAAUACCGGAUAAUAUUUUGAACCGCAUGAUUCAAAAGUGAAAGACGGUCUUUCGGUCACUUAUAGAUGGAUCUGCGCUGCAUUAGCUAGUUGGUAAGGUAAAGGCUUACCAAGGCAAGGAUGCGUAACCGACCUGAGAGGGGGAUCGGCCACACUGGAACUGAGACACGGUCCAGACUCCUACGGGAGGCAGCAGUAGGGAAUCUUCCGCAAUGGGCGAAAGCCUGACGGAGCAACGCCGCGUGAGUGAUGAAGGUCUUCGGAUCGGAAAACUCUGUUAUUAGGGAAGAACAGAUUUGUAAGUAACUGUGCACAUCUUGACGGUACCUAAUCAGAAAGCCACGGCUAACUACGUG